AGUAAAAGUCGUAACAAGGUUUCCGUAGGUGAACCUGCGGAAGGAUCAUUACCUAGAGUUUGUAGACUUCGGUCUGCUACCUCUUACCCAUGUCUUUUGAGUACCUUCGUUUCCUCGGCGGGUCCGCCCGCCGAUUGGACAACAUUCAAACCCUUUGCAGUUGCAAUCAGCGUCUGAAAAAACAUAAUAGUUACAACUUUUAACAACGGAUCUCUUGGUUCUGGCAUCGAUGAAGAACGCAGCGAAAUGCGAUAAGUAAUGUGAAUUGCAGAAUUCAGUGAAUCAUCGAAUCUUUGAACGCACAUUGCGCCCCCUGGUAUUCCGGGGGGCAUGCCUGUUCGAGCGUCAUUUCACCACUCAAGCCUCGCUUGGUAUUGGGCAACGCGGUCCGCCGCGUGCCUCAAAUCGUCCGGCUGGGUCUUCUGUCCCCUAAGCGUUGUGGAAACUAUUCGCUAAAGGGUGUUCGGGAGGCUACGCCGUAAAACAACCCCAUUUCUAAGGUUGACCUCGGAUCAGGUAGGGAUACCCGCUGAACUUAAGCAUAUCAAUAAGCGGAGGAAAAGAAACCAACAGGGAUUGCCCUAGUAACG
rnacentral:rRNA from 1 species